rnacentral:rRNA from 1 species
UGGGGAAUCAUGGUCAAUGGGCGAAAGCCUGAACCUGCGACGCCGCGUGAGUGAUGAAGGUCGUAAGAUCGUAAAACUCUUUUCAGGGAGAUUAAAGCACAACCGUCAACAACGGCUGUGUGUGACUCUCCCUGGAAGAAGCCCCAGCCAACUACGUGCCAGCAGCUGCGGUAAUACGUAGGGGGCGAGCGUUAUUCGGAAUUACUGGGGGUAAAGGGUAUGUAGGCGGCCCUUCAAGUCGCGUGUCAAAGUCCAGUGCUCAACGCUGGGUGUG